UCUAUCAUUGCUCCUCCCAAGUUUGGUUGCUUUGCAGCGUGAAGAUGCUCAUUCAUGGGAGAGAGGUAAAGAAAGCGCAUGCAAGCCCUACAGCAGGACCGGAGCGGGGCUAUUCUUGUCCUCAAGCGUGCGAAUCCGUUCCUUUGGGUGCAACAAUUCACCUGCACGGCGAAGAUAACGUCUACAAGGGGAAACGAGCGGCGUGAAAACAAGGCCGGGAAAUAUUAUCAACAACACACUAACGGAUGUAUUAAAUUAACGCACCCUUAACCGGGAUCUCUUUUCUUUUUGAAUUCAGCUGUAUUAGCGCUUUUUAUGUGGGUUGCUUUUUUAUAAAAAUUUUUUUACAUAUGCUUAAGAAAUUAUGCUACGGACGACAUUGCAAGGAUUGCUUUAAAAUGAAACACCGCGCAAAACAGGGAACAGCGUGUGUAGGUGCACAUGGACCUCGUCCGGCUGGUUCGGCUCGGAUGAGUCUUAACUUAUCCCGCACCUGGCAGCAAAUCACAUUGUGCGAUUUUUAAAACUCAACUUUUGAUUUUUGAAGGUGCCAUGUUAUGCUAGACUGACUUCAGUGUACUCGAGGAAACAAGCAAACAGAAUGACAAGUGAAAAGACAUCUGUGCGGCUUGGACUCCUAAUUGAUAAUAAUGGGAAUUAAACGGUGAAAACAGACGGCGCUUUUUGACGGCAUUAAGAUUUAUUAAUGAAAACACAACUAAUGUGCCGAAAGCUUCUUCUGAUAAACACUGAUUGUGAAAACGAGCUCUGAGUUAACACGACACAUUAAAAUAUGGAGAGUGGGCAUGAAUUUUCAUCAUGAAAGAGCGUCCUUUUGCUGCUGUCACACACUCGAUGUUAUUUGCCAGGGCUGAAAAUGUAUGUAUAUAACGUACAUGUCCACUGGUGAACUUUCAGAUUAAUGGAUAUUCACGUUGUUACUUUUACAUGUAUGAAAUCGCCAGGAAGUUCAAGUCCAACCCCUGGAAACGAGUAGUCUUGUCAGUCUCGUGAAUGAAAGCGGCAAUGUUUAGCUGUCGAAGUUGCCAUGGAUCUACAAGUGUGAUUAUAUUGAAUGAGACAGAUGUGGACGUUUGUCACUGAGUAUUCAUUAGAGGAGUACUAGGUUGCAUGAAAUAACCACCACGAGCCGUCUGCAGGCACAAAGCCUGAUUUUGUUUUUAUUCAUAAGUUAAGACGUCUUGACUCUUCGGUGAGCUCGCACUGCGCACCGAGCGCCCGCUGAAGCCUGGGGAUAAUCCUGAUUUGAGUGGCUGUUAAAAUAAUAAGCGACGUGGUGUCAGUGAGGCCACAGACGGUGGGGAUUUCACGAGAUUACCGUUCGGACUGCUAUUUUGUUCGUCCACACUCAAACAUCAGUAUUCGGGCGUAGGACGUCGCCCUUCGUUGCUCUCCUGACUGGCAUCUUCUCGGAGCGCAGCAUAGACAGGAAUUUGAGGGAAAAUGCAUGCAAGUAUCUGUAGAUACAGGCGGUUCUAACAGUAUUUGCAAGGCUGGAGUGUCGAUAAGCCUCUAGUUACUGACUGUCCAGCAUGACUGACGCGCAGGAGGAGGUACACUUAAGAUACAUCCGACCUGCGGUUAACACACACGGGCCACUUUACGAAUCCUCCCGCAGGUGAGCGGGUGAUGGUUCUGCGAGGAUGCUGCGCUUUCCAGUGAAGAAAAUUCGGAAGCAAUUCAAACUCCUCCUUCUAUUGGUCCUGCUUACGUUUGCUGUCUGGUUCACAUAUCUGCAUAUAAACCAAGGCAAAGCGAUCAAACUGCAUUUCAACUAUGGCAAAGACGGGGAGAAGCAGACGGAGGGGACGGAUGCCAGCCGUAGGAGGGACUCGCGCUCCUCGGCCGGCCACCGCAAGAACGAGGCCAGCGACAGCCGGGAGGAGGAGCCUGCGGAAGAAGAGUCCAAUACAUUGGAAGAGGAUGGAAGAGACAUAGCAGACAUGAAGAAGUUUCUCGCCCAGAAGCUGAACAAGUUACCAUGGAAGCCAGAGUAUAAAGGCCAGGCUAACCUGCAUGUGUUUGAAGACUGGUGUGGCUCCUCUGUGACUCAGCUCAGGAAGAACCUUCACUUCCCACUCUACCCCCACACCAGAACGACAGUGAAGAAGCUGGCUGUGGCUCCUAAGUGGAAGAACUACGGUUUGCGCAUCUUUGGCUUCAUCCACCCCUACAGAGACGGGGACUUCCAGUUUGCUGUGGCCUCAGACGACAACUCUGAGUUCUGGCUUAGCCCUGACGAGAACCCCCUGAAUGCCCGACUACUGGUUUAUGUAGGCCAGCUGGGAUCCGAGUGGACUGCACCCGGGGAGUUCACCAAGUUCAGGUCCCAGUCAUCCAAGUCGGUGCACCUCAUGGCCUCCAGACGGUACUACUUUGAGAUUUUGCACAAACAAGAUGACAAGGGUUCGGACCAUGUGGAGGCAGGGUGGCGUCCAUUUCUUCCUGGCCUGAAGUAUGAGGUCAUCGACUCUGCCUAUAUCUCCCUGUACACAGAUGAGUCCAGUCUGAAGAUGAACAGUGUGGAUCACAUCCCCCAGACCUUAGCCAGUUACAGUCACUCUGCUCUGGAGUCUGAAACACACAGCCAGCACGGCGCCGACAUGCUGAAACCAGACCCCCGAGACACCUUCUACCGCACGCCCAUGAUCGAGGCAUCCCGUCUGGAGAACGUGCUGCCCGCCUGCCUGUACUCUCCCACAUACGUGGUGAAGGACUUCCCCAUCGCCCGCUACCAGGGCCUACAGUUUGUCUACCUGUCCUUUGUGUUUCCCAACGAUUUCACCAGACUGACCCAUAUGGAGAAGGAGAACAAGUGUUUCUACAGGGAGUCACCCAUAUACUUGGAGAAGUUUGGCUUCUACAAAUACAUGAAAAUGGAUGAGGAAGACGAUGACAGGCCAUUCUUCUUCCCCAAUCCGGAUGACUUCCUGGAGGAGGAGGAAGGGGUGGAUCCAGAAGACGAGUCACUGGCAGCCGACACCCCGCCAGUCAGGAGACCCAAUGGCAACCAGACGGGCCGUCCAACCACCAGACUCCCCCCUCGAAGGACCGCCCCUCCGACCUCGCCCGACAGACAGGAUGAGGAAGGGGACAGCCACAGACAGAAACGGGCUUCUCAGUGGUCGAGGGGGGGCGGCAGGAAAACACGGGACCGCCCCCCCAACCGGCAACAGCGGGAGGAGCAGGAGGCGCCAGAUUCCCACAUGCAGGAGGCUGGGUUGGGUGUGGUCCCGGGCCGCUCCCUCUCCUGGAUCCGCACUGGCCCGGAUGAGCUGAGCCGGAAGGGGGGCGCAGAGACGCCCCUGAAAUUCAGCAAGUCACCUCUCCUGUUUCCCCCGAAGAGCUCCUUCUCGGCACUGAGCAGCAGGACCAAGCAGAUCAUAGGCAACUCCGCCCACCCCGGCCCCGCCCCUGACAACCCGCAGGCCAAUAAGGAGCAGAAGAAGGAGGACAAUAAGAUCUACAUUACCAGGCCUCGCUUGGCCAAUGGCAGACGGAGCUCCACCCCCCGGCAGCCCAAGGAGGUGUUUCCGGGAGUCUUCCUUUACCAGAACGGGAAGACCACCAAGCUGGUGAACCUUAGCACCAAGCCCCGGAACCCCCCUCAGCUCUGGCCCCCCUUCAAAGGCAGCAAGACCCCUCUGCUGAGUGCCAACAUCACCCACCUGUCUGCGCUUCACAAAGCCUCUACCAGGGCGGUGCUGGCGAGGCGGCAGCAGAGGAAGACAGAAGACCCCUGGAUGGCACGACGGGGCUCUCUGGGCUCUCCAGGCAGGAGCAGCUCUCCAGCUCCUGCGUCCCGUCGGGUGAACCCCCCUCCUACCACCACGGCUAGCCCCAAACUGCCAGGCCCCCGCCCAUCCCAGAAUAGCCCCCCCAUAGAGGCCAGGGUCACUUCAUACCUCAGAACUUCAGAGAUCACUGAGUCCCUGCAGCAGCGGGAGAUGGAGGUGGAGCCUGAUCAGGAGGCGGGGCCGGAAGCGGAGCAGGAGGCGGAGCUUGAGCAGGAGGAAGGGGGGCUAUCAGAGUACAGCUAUGAGGAGGCGGACCCUCGGCCGGGGUGGGCGGAGGAAGCCAUUAAUUGGCAGCGCACGUUCAGCGUGAACAGCAUGGACUUUGAAAUGCUGCGCUCCGACUGGAACGACCUGCGCUGCAACGUGUCGGGGAACCUGCAGCUGGGAGAGAGCGAGGUGGUGGACGUGCUCGCGCAGUACAUGGAGAAGCUCAACGAGCGCAAUGGAGGGAUCUACACCCUCCUGCGGAUCAUUAACGUGGAAAAGCGCAGGGACUCGGCUCGGGGGAACAGGUACCUGGUGGAGCUCGAACUGAUGGAGAGGGGCAAACGGGUGGUGCGCCUCUCCGAGUACAUCUACCUGCUGCUGCACCGCGGCCGGCUGGAGGAGGGGCCGGAGAUCGGCGAGGGGGGCGGAGCCACCACCUCCAGCCCCGCCGCCACCCCUGCUCUCACCACCAUGGCUGCGGCUGCCACCGCCCAGCCCCGCGCCACCACGCCCUGGGGCACCGCCUAUGCCCGGCCCCUGCUCUGUCAGCCUGUCAUGUUGCGCUGGAGGCAUGAUGUCAUGGUGCACUUUGUGGUGCCAGUGAAGAACCAGGCCCGCUGGGUGCAGCAGUUCAUAUCGGACAUGGAGCACCUGCACAGGGAGACCAAAGACGAAAACUUCAGCAUCAUCAUUGUGGACUUCCAGAGUGAGGACAUGGAUGUGGAGCAGGCCCUGAGGGAAAGCAAGGUGCCUAGGUAUGAGUACCUGAGGCGGGAGGGGAAUUUUGAGCGCUCUGCGGGUCUUCAGAUUGGAGUAGACACUAUAGAGGACAGUCACAGUAUUGUGUUCCUGUGCGACCUGCACAUCCACUUUCCAAAUAACAUUCUGGAGAGCAUCAGGAAGCACUGUGUGGAGGGGCGGCUGGCCUUUGCCCCCAUCGUUAUGAGACUGGGCUGUGGGAGCUCCCCCAGAGAGCCUGACGGCUACUGGGAAGUCAACGGCUUCGGCUUGUUUGGAAUUUACAAGUCGGAUUUUGAUAAAAUCGGGGGGAUGAACACUGAGGAGUUCAAGGACCGUUGGGGGGGUGAGGACUGGGAGCUUCUGGACAGGUAUUAACCCCCCCCAAAAAACCACAAAAAAAACAGAAAAACAAGAUUUUUUCAUGUCCACAGCCACCAUGAGUGCUCCAGAAUGGCCUAGAGGUGGAGAGACUGAGGCUGAGGAACUUCUUCCACUACUACCACUCCAAACGGGGCAUGUGGAAUGCUGGGGUAAAGAAGAACCCCAAAGGGUAGCCCUCUGAGCUGCCUGCCAGGCCCUCUCUCUUUCACUCUCACUCCCUCUGCCAUGUGAGUCAAGCAUUCUACACAGACAGCCCUGGCCUUCGUAGGACCCCUGGGGGCCUUUUGUUGUUACAGGGACAAAGAGGCCGGCCAAUCAAGUCCAUCCGUGCCCUCGCAGUUCCUCUCUCAGCUACACUGUGGCCCGUAUAAACACAAACACUGGGGAGGAACGUCUCUAGGGGAACAAUGAUUGCGCGGGGGUUUUAUUUUGAAGUUGGCUGUUUUUGUUUUUUACAAAAAGGAUGAUUGUUCUCUGUGUGUCUGGGAAGAAAAGCUUGUUUUCUCGAAUGUGAUGACAUCUUUUUUUAAUAAAGUUUCAGAUGCAGGCAGUAAUUGCAGAGAAUAAAGUGCAAUGGAAUGCAUCAGGCUCUACUUUGAGAGAGAUGCAGGAAUGCCAGACAUCAAGGGUCAUUUAUCAGGAAUAGCAAAGGUAUCAAUAAGCUAUAUCAUGUCUCUCACUGUGUUUGGAGGGAAGGGAGAUGAGGAAAACCUUCAUAUUUUUUAUUUGCUGCUGACUGUCAUUCUCAUUUUAUUUCUCUCUUCGUUGGGAUAUUUGGCCUUGUGCAUUGAACAGACACCAUGUUGCUAUUAACCAUGCCUUCACUCAUGGGUUAUAAGGGUAAUCAAGAGAAAGAAAGGGAGCACCUUGGUGGCUUUUGUCCUUGGUCCGCUCCCCAGUCUCUGUGCUUGUCACUCUGUGCAACAUGUGGAUCUGACACCCCCACACAGACACACUGAUUUGAGGGGGUACACGUGGUACUGUCUUCAGCUUCUGAAUUGUGAGGCUACUGCUCCUCCAUUAGCCUUGAAGCCCCGACUUGUUCCCUCUGUCCCCUUAACGGGUCUGGCCUCUCUCUCUGAUGGGCCCAGCACCGUGAACCAUACAAGAAGCAACCAGCAGGACCCACUGCUCUGAGGACUUGAAACUUCCCCUUCUUUUAAAAAUGUCAUUUAUGUUUUGGGGGGCUUUUAUUAUUUAAAUUGUGCAAAGCUCACAACUUUUAUCCAACGAAGCGGGUUGUUGUGAAAUUCAUUGUUCGACGCUCAGCGAGCACACAGAUUCAUUACUCCCUCACUUCACAAAACAUGGCUUCUUGGGUGGAGAAAGUAAGAAUGGGGUGGAGGGAUCUCCAUGUGGGAGAAUGUCAUGUUUGCAAGCAACUGUAUUUGUGUUGGAACAGCAGGGAUUAACCUACUGGCAUAUGUCUUACCUGACAGCUUGGAGGAUUCAAUAAGUAUUCUCAUUGUUUUUCAUAGUGUUGGGAUGGGCUGACAGAAGUACUAGAAUGAAUUAUUACACUGGGUGUGUAUAACACACAAUAAUUUGUAAAGAUGUAUUAAUGACUAAGAUUGUCUGACCGGCGCCCUUGUUUGCCUGUUAUAAUCUCCAAAAAGGCUUACAGUGUGACAUAGUGCUUAAUGAACUGUUAAACACCUUUGAAUUCUUUAGACCCUCACAACAAAUUGACACACACAGGUCCCUGCAAAAUUUCUAUUAAACAUGUUACAAACCAAGACAUACAAUUAUUUGAAAGAAGAAUUUUGCUCAGAAUUUUGGCUGCUUUUGACAGUUGUGAGUAAUCUGCAAGAAAUGUACUGGUGUCUAAAGGGUUGAGGAAUUUCAAAUAAUGAUUUAUCUCAAGUUAUUGAUUUUUAUGUAUUUAUUUUUAACCAGAAGGCCAAAUUUUGUUACCGGGUUUGCGGGGGCAUUGAUGUUGACCAUGAGUGGGGGCUGAGGGACUGAGUUGGUUAAAUAAACAUAUCCAGCAGUAUAAAUGGAAAAUAUGUAAAAAUGUAAGAUAUGCCAUUCUCUCCAGAAAAGGCCUUCUGUUAAGCAAGUAUGUAAAGUCUAAAAAAGGAACAGAUAAAUAUAUGCUAAAAUAAAGACAUGGGUUUACAUUCUGAGGAUAAUUUCUGUGAAAUUGUUUUGUAGAGUUUUAAGAAUGUACUGUAUUUUAUUUUCUUGAUUUCGUUCCGGUUUUCUUUUGUAAAAAAAUAAAUUUUAAAGCUUAAGUUUCA